rnacentral:rRNA from 1 species
GACGAACGCUGGCGGCGUGCCUAAUACAUGCAAGUCGAACGCAGUGGGGACGGGUGAGUAACACGUGGGUAACCUCCCAUCAGAGGGGAUAACACUUGGAAACAGGUGCUAAACCGAUACUGAUGGAUGGACCCGCGGUGCAUUAGCUAGUUGGUGAGGUAACGGCUCACCAAGGCCACGAUGCAUAGCCGCCUGGAGAGGAUGACCGUCCAUAGUGGAACUGAGACACGGCCCAGACUCCUACGGGAGGCGGCAUUAGGGAAUCUGCGGCAACUGACGAAAGUCUGACCGAGCAACUCAGCGUGAGUUAAGAAGGUUUCCGGAGCGUAAAACUCUUAUGUUAGAGAAGCGGUAUCUAACCAGAAAGCCACGGCGAACUACGUGCCAGCCGCCGCGGUAAUAC